UACCUCAAUCUCAAAUAAGACCUAAGGAGAGUGUUGUUGCACACGCGGAGCUCUUCCAAAAAAAUAAUAUCGAAAUAUAUGUUUAAUAAAAUGUGCUAAAUACGGUGUUGGUGUAGUGAGUAUCAAAUUACUAUAAGAUGCGAUAAGAUUAUGCGUAAUUGGAUAAUGGACACGAUGGCCAUAAGUCAAGACUUAUAAUGGCCCGACAGUAAUAAUGUUCCGGCAAAGACUAAUUCCAUAUUCUCUUCCAUUUAUCAACAAUAUCAAUUAUGACACCACUGUUUAACUUUUUUCGGUGGUGCCUUUCAAUCCGAAGUUCGUGCACGUAAUUUGUUUGCUUGCUUGACGUGAAAAAGAUAAAGCCUUUUGUUUUCAAGGAGCGGCUUGUAUUAUCAAAUGUUUGAAUGGGAAUAUGAAAAUAUCAAGUUUAUCACAUGAUUUUGAGAAGGUGGUUAUAUAAGGGAUUUACAUGUUAAUUUGAGUAAUAAUACUGAUAUCAAUUAUCUAUUGGAUAAUGGAUAAUGGGAUUCAGUUAUGUUACAACUGUGAUACGGUACCACAGUUACUUUCAGCCAUUGAAUUCAACUAAUGUAACUAUACAAUUAUAAAUCUAAUAGCUGGUUGCAACAUGUUUUACCUUGGAUAAUAAUAUAAUUAAA
rnacentral:lncRNA from 1 species